UCCCCGAUUUCCGGGGCAGUCUCCCUAGAGUUCCCGGCAUGACCCGAUGGCAACUAGGGAUAGGGGUUGCGCUCGUUGCGCCACUUAAGGCAACACCUCACGGCACGAGCUGACGACGGCCAUGCACCACCUGUGCAGGCUCCGAAGAGCACCGUGUUUCCACGGUUUCACCCUGCAUGUCAAGCCCUGGUAAGGUUCUUCGCGUUGCGUCGAAUUAAGCCACAUGCUCCGCCGCUUGUGCGGGCCCCCGUCAAUUCCUUUGAGUUUUAGUCUUGCGACCGUACUCCCCAGGCGGAGUGCUUAAUGCGUUAGCUGCGGCACAGAGCGGGUUGAAGACCGCCCCACACCUAGCACUCAACGUUUACGGCUGGGACUAC
rnacentral:misc_RNA from 1 species